GACGAACGCUGGCGGCGUGCUUAACACAUGCAAGUCGAACGGAAAGGCCCUGCUUUUGUGGGGUGCUCGAGUGGCGAACGGGUGAGUAACACGUGAGUAACCUGCCCUUGACUUUGGGAUAACUUCAGGAAACUGGGGCUAAUACCGGAUAGGAGCUCCUGCUGCAUGGUGGGGGUUGGAAAGUUUCGGCGGUUGGGGAUGGACUCGCGGCGUAUUAGCUAGUUGGUGGGGUAGUGGCUUACCAAGGCUUUGACGGGUAGCCGGCCUGAGAGGGGGACCGGGCACAGGGGAAGUGAGACACGGGGCAGAGUGCUACGGGAGGCAGCGGGAGGGAAUCUGCCGCAAUGGGAGAAAGCAUGACGGAGCAACGCCGCGUGAGUGAUGAAGGUCUUCGGAUCGUAAAACUCUGUUAUGAGGGAAGAACAAAUGUGUAAGUAACUAUGCACGUCUUGACGGUACCUAAUCAGAAAGCCACGGCUAACUACGGG
rnacentral:rRNA from 1 species